UACGUAGGGUGCAAGCGUUAAUCGGAAUUACUGGGCGUAAAGCGUGCGCAGGCGGUCUUGCAAGACAGAUGUGAAAUCCCCGGGCUUAACCUGGGAACUGCAUUUGUGACUGCAAGGCUGGAGUACGGUAGAGGGGGAUGGAAUUCCGCGUGUAGCAGUGAAAUGCGUAGAUAUGCGGAGGAACACCGAUGGCGAAGGCAAUCCCCUGGGCCUGUACUGACGCUCAUGCACGAAAGCGUGGGGAGCAAACAGG
rnacentral:rRNA from 1 species